CCCUUAGACGUUCUGGGCCGCACGCGCGCUACACUGACGAAGGCAACGAGCUUUCCUUUACCGAAAGGUACGGGUAAUCUUUUGAAACUUCGUCGUGCUGGGGAUAGAUCCUUGCAAUUUUUGAUCUUAAACGAGGAAUGCCUAGUAAGCGCAAGUCAUCAACUUGCGUUGAUUACGUCCCUGCCCUUUGUACACACCGCCCGUCGCUACUACCGAUUGAAUGGUUUAGUGAGGCCUUCGGAUCCGCGACUCGUUUGUGGAGAAGUUGGACAAACUCAGUCAUUUAGAGGAAGUAAAAGUCGUAAC
rnacentral:rRNA from 1 species